CAAUAGCGUAUAUUAAUGUUGUUGCAGUUAAAAAGCUCGUAGUUGGAUUUCUGACAGGAGCGACCGGUCCGAGCCUUCGGGUUCGUGUACUUUGUGUUGUCUCUAGUCAUCCUUAUGGAGAGCGUGUCUUUCAUUAAUUUGUUGGGCAUGGGAUCCAUAUCGUUUACUGUGAAAAAAUUAGAGUGUUCAAAGCAGGCAAUCGCUGUGAAUAUAUUAGCAUGGAAUAAUAGGAUAGGACUUUGGUACUAUUUUGUUGGUUUGCAUACCAAGGUAAUGAUUAAGAGGGACAGUUGGGGGUAUUCGUAUUUAAUUGUCAGAGGUGAAAUUCUUGGAUUUAUGAAAGACGAACUACUGCGAAAGCAUUUACCAAGGAUGUUUUCAUUAA
rnacentral:rRNA from 1 species